AGUGAACGCUGGCGGUAGGCCUAACACAUGCAAGUCGAACGGCAGCACAGUAAGAGCUUGCUCUUACGGGUGGCGAGUGGCGGACGGGUGAGGAAUACAUCGGAAUCUACUUUUUCGUGGGGGAUAACGUAGGGAAACUUACGCUAAUACCGCAUACGACCUACGGGUGAAAGCAGGGGAUCUUCGGACCUUGCGCGAUUGAAUGAGCCGAUGUCGGAUUAGCUAGUUGGCGGGGUAAAGGCCCACCAAGGCGACGAUCCGUAGCUGGUCUGAGAGGAUGAGCAGCCACACUGGCACUGAGACACGGUCCAGACUCCUACGGGAGGACGCAGUGGGGAAUAUUGGACAAUGGGCGCAAGCCUGAUCCAGCCAUACCGCGUGAGUGAGGAAGGCCUUCGGGUUGUAAAGCCCUUUUGUUGGGAAAGAAAAGCAGCAGGUUAAUACCCCGCUGUUCUGACGGUACCCAAAGAAUAAGCACCGGCUAACUUCGUG
rnacentral:rRNA from 1 species